AGCGUUAAUCGGAAUUNCUGGGCGUAAAGCGCACGUAGGCGGCGCAUUAAGUUGGAUGUGAAAUCCCCGGGCUUAACUUGGGAAUUGCAUUCAAGACUGGUGUGCUGGAGUGUGGGAGAGAGAAGUGGAAUUCCAGGAGUAGCGGUGAAAUGCGUAGAUACCUGGAGGAACAUCAGUGGCGAAGGCGGCUUCUUGGCCCAACACUGACGCUGAGGUGCGAAAGCGUGGGGAUCAAACAGGAUUAGAUACCCUGGUAGUCCACGCUGUAAACGAUGAGAACUAGACGUUGGAAGGAUCUGCCUUUCAGUGUCGUAGCUAACGCGCUAAGUUCUCCGCCUGGGGAGUACGGCCGCAAGGUUGAAACUCAAAGGAAUUGACG
rnacentral:rRNA from 1 species